GCGUGCGCAGGCGGUUAUAUAAGACAGAUGUGAAAUCCCGGGCUCAACCUGGGAACUGCAUUUGUGACUGUAUAGCUGGAGUGCGGCAGAGGGGAUGGAAUUCCGCGUGUAGCAGUGAAAUGCGUAGAUAUGCGGAGGAACACCGAUGGCGAAGGCAAUCCCCUGGGCCUGCACUGACGCUCAUGCACGAAAGCGUGGGGAGCAAACAGGAUUACCCCCGAUACCCGGGU
rnacentral:rRNA from 1 species